CGAGGCUCAUUGCGAAUU
rnacentral:miRNA from 1 species